rnacentral:tRNA from 1 species
AUUUUGAUGGCUGAAUUAGGCGAUAGAUUGUAAAUCUAUUUAUGGGGCCACCCCCUCUUGCUAUG